rnacentral:rRNA from 1 species
AGUGAACGCUGGCGGUAGGCCUAACACAUGCAAGUCGAACGGCAGCACAGUAAGAGCUUGCUCUUACGGGUGGCGAGUGGCGGACGGGUGAGGAAUACAUCGGAAUCUACUUUUUCGCGGGGGAUAACGUAGGGAAACUUACGCUAAUACCGCAUACGACCUACGGGUGAAAGCAGGGGAUCUUCGGACCUUGCGCGAUUGAAUGAGCCGAUGUCGGAUUAGCUAGUUGGCGGGGUAAAGGCCCACCAAGGCGACGAUCCGUAGCUGGUCUGCGAGGAUGAUCAGCCACACUGGAACUGAGACACGGUCCAGACUCCUACGGGAGGCAGCAGUGGGGAAUAUUGGACAAUGGGCGCAAGCCUGAUCCAGCCAUACCGCGUGGGUGAAGAAGGCCUUCGGGUUGUAAAGCCCUUUUGUUGGGAAAGAAAAGCAGCAGGUUAAUACCCCGCUGUUCUGACGGUACCCAAAGAAUAAGCACCGGCUAACUUCGUG